rnacentral:rRNA from 1 species
AUUGAACGCUGGCGGCAGGCCUUACACAUGCAAGUCGAACGAGUGGCGGACGGGUGAGUAAUGUCUGGGAAACUGCCUGAUGGCGGGGGAUAACUACUGGAAAGGGUAGCUAAUACCGCAUACCAUCGGAUGUGCCCAGAUGGGAUUAGCUAGUUGGUGGGGUAAAGGCUCACCUAGGCGACGAUCCCUAGCUGGUCUGAGAGGAUGACCAGCCACACUGGGACUGAGACACGGUCCAGACUCCUACGGGAGGCAGCAGUGGGGAAUAUUGGACAAUGGGCGCAAGCCUGAUGCAGCCAUGCCGCGUGUAUGAAGAAGGCCUUCGGGUUGUAAAGUACUUUCAGCGGGGAGGCGGUACCCGCAGAAGAAGCACCGGCUAACUACGUGCCAGCAGCCGCGGUAAUUC